rnacentral:rRNA from 1 species
UAAGUCCUACGGGAGGCAGCAGUGGGGAAUAUUGCACAAUGGGGGGAACCCUGAUGCAGCGACGCCGCGUGAGUGAAGAAGUAUUUCGGUAUGUAAAGCUCUAUCAGCAGGGAAGAUAAUGACGGUACCUGACCAAGAAGCCCCGGCUAACUACGUGCCAGCAGCCGCGGUAAUACGUAGGGGGCAAGCGUUAUCCGGAAUUACUGGGUGUAAAGGGAGCGUAGACGGCUGUGCAAGUCUGGAGUGAAAGGCGGGGGCCCAACCCCCGGACUGCUCUGGAAACUGUAUGG